rnacentral:rRNA from 1 species
UACAGAGGUCUCAAGCGUUGUUCGGAUUCAUUGGGCGUAAAGGGUGCGUAGGCGGCGGGGCAAGUCAGGUGUGAAAUCCCGGAGCUCAACUCCGGAACUGCACUUGAUACUGCCUCGCUAGAGUACUGGAGAGGAGACUGGAAUUUACGGUGUAGCAGUGAAAUGCGUAGAGAUCGUAAGGAAGACCAGUGGCGAAGGCGAGUCUCUGGACAGUUACUGACGCUGAGGCACGAAGGCCAGGGGAGCAAACCGG